GCCCGGUUAGCUCAAUCGGUAGAGCGUGAGACUCUUAAUCUCAAGGUUGCGGGUAAGUUGUGAUCCAAUCACACCAUAUCUUCUAACUCAAAGCUAACUGACCUCUUAGGUUCGACCCCCGCAUCGGGCU